rnacentral:snRNA from 1 species
UAAAAGGGUCGGUUGGCUAAAUAUGCCACUCUCGCCUUUUGUCGGUGGGUGCUGUAUGGCUAUCAAGACAUAUGGCCGACGCAAUUUCUGGACUCCAAAAGGGUUGGCUCGCUAGGUCGACCCUCCA